rnacentral:pre_miRNA from 1 species
UUCAAGUAAUCCAGGAUAGGCUGUGUGUGAUCAGAUUGGCCUAUUCUUGAUUACUUGCACU